GUAGGUGAACCUGCGGAAGGAUCAUUACUGAGACUGGGUGCUUCGGCGCCCGACCUCCAACCCCCUGUCUACCUUACCACUGUUGCCUCGGCGUCUGCUCAACCCCCCUCACCGGGGGGUGGGGGGGUCGCCGGCGGCCAAAAACAAAAAACCCUUUUUCAAACCAAGCAAUCUGAGAAAUUAUUUUAAUAACUUCAAAACUUUCAACAACGGAUCUCUUGGUUCUGGCAUCGAUGAAGAACGCAGCAUC
rnacentral:misc_RNA from 1 species